GUGGGGAAUAUUGGACAAUGGGCGAAAGCCUGAUCCAGCAAUGCCGCGUGUGUGAAGAAGGCCUGCGGGUUGUAAAGCACUUUUAUCGGGAAAGAAACAGCCUGGGGCGAAUACCCCCAGGCCUUGACGGUACCCGAUGAAUAAGCACCGGCUAACUCCGUGCCAGCAGCCGCGGUAAUACGGAGGGUGCGAGCGUUAAUCGGAAUUACUGGGCGUAAAGCGAGUGUAGGCGGUUGCAUAAGUCGGAUGUGAAAGCCCCGGGCUUAACCUGGGAAUGGCAUUCGAUACUGUGCGGCUAGAGUCUGAUAGAGGGAAGUGGAAUUCCAGGUGUAGCGGUGAAAUGCGUAGAUAUCUGGAAGAACACCAGUGGCGAAGGCGGCUUCCUGGAUCAAGACUGACGCUGAGGCUCGAAAGCGUGGGGAGCAAACAGGAUUAGAAACCCGUGUAGUCC
rnacentral:rRNA from 1 species